rnacentral:tRNA from 1 species
GCCCCGGUAGCUCAAAUGGAUAGAGCACAGGUUUCCUAAACCUGCCAUCCCAGUUCGAUUCUGGGCUGGGGCA